CUCCCAAAAUCAGAUAACUCUAACUAUCCUUAGGUUAUUCUCCUAAGUUUCCAAUUGGAUUUCUCCUCCGUUGCACUCUGCUACCGUCUUUCAUGACGUCGUUGUCGUCCGUCGCUGGGUGGUCAUUGUCCCUCUGCGUCGCCCACAUGUGCUCUAUUCUGCUCCACUCGUCCGCCUUGCCUAUUGCAUCCCCUCGUCCCGCCUUGCCUCAGCGCGCCUCGCGGUGCCUUGCCUCAAAUCGCCGCUCCUCGACUCCGCAUUUUGCUGUCUGGACUGGUUCUGCAACAACAGCAUACAGGUUCUACUUGUAAAAGUUUGGGCUGCAAUCCUCAAAGCAUUGCUGCUGAUAGGCUUCGAUGCUUGGUUCCGGAAUACCGAAGAUCGGUGGUAAAAGCAAAGGCCUCAAAUACAACUGAAUGUGCUGCUAUGGUUAAUACCAAUUCUCGCAGAGACUCUCUUGGAUUGGCUUUGGGAAUCUCAAGCCUCUUUGUUGGUUCAUUGGAAGCCAAAGGAGCUGGUUUGUUGUAAAUUGCUAAUAAUGGUUGUUGUAAAUUGUUAAUAAUGUUUUGAUAUUUGAUGUAAUUGCAUUGCAUCUCCUGUUUCUACUAAUGUUAGUCAGCAUCUUUUUCAAAUGUCAGUUAUUUUUUAAGAGAAAUUCUUCAAAUAAAUCUUGGGAAUUCAAAGCAUUAUUAGUAUCUAAGCUAUUCUUUGCUGAUAAUAGAAUCUAUCAUUCUUAAAGGAAUAGCAGACAUUCUUAUAUUUUCAAAGAAUUUGUGCACCAUACAAAGAAUUUAUUAAUAACCAAUCUAUGUGAUUGCACUUAAGUUUUAAUAUUCACAUUUUUAAGACCCUUGAUCAAUGACCACCAUGGUAACAAUGGAUUUUACUUGGAAUACCCAUAGCUAAAUGACUAAUGUUGACUUUGAACAUUUUAUGCAAUGAAGGUGCCUAAGGUAACUACUGAAUCAGGUUUGCAAUACAAGGAUAUUAAAGUUGGACAAGGUCCUAGUCCCCCAGUUGGAUUUCAGGUGUAAAAUUUCUUUUAAUUUGUUCAGUUCUUUUUUAUAUGCAAUACAAGAUAGAUAAUAUCUAUUCUGCUCGAAGUUAAUUAUUGAAAAAGAAAAUAUAGAACUAGAACACUUUCGCAUUUUAAGCAACAUGUAAGACACGGGAACAAUGAUUUUGUUAUGCUAUGUCUCUCUGUAUCUCUGUUUCAGUGUAAUCAAACAUAUUUGUAUCUAACCAAAUGCAACUUCAUUUCUAUA